ensembl:rRNA 5S_rRNA 5S ribosomal RNA
GGAUGCGAUCAUACCAGCACUAACGCACCGGAUCCCAUCAGAACUCCGAAGUCAAGCGUGCUUGGGCGAGAGUAGUACUAGGAUGGGUGACCCCCUGGGAAGUCCUCGUGUUGCAUCCC